UAAUCAAGUGUUUUUAUGGCACUUUCAAAAAUCCAUAUCCACCUUGUGUGCAAUGUCAUUUCUCUGGGGGCUGUCGGCUGUCAAAAAGCCGUGUGGUCACCUUUGGGAUUUAUAUCUACUCAGAACUUAGUGAUUUGUCUGAAACAUAUUAUGAAUACUUAAUUCAAAAUA
rnacentral:misc_RNA from 1 species